GAAGAAGCUCGCCAAGAUGUCCAUGUAUAUUACUAGUGAAAGAUGUUAGUCUUAAAAGGCUACAUACUGUAUAACUCCAACUAUGUGAAAGUCUAAUUAAGGCAAAACUGUGAAGACAGUGAAAAGAUCAGUGGUUGCCUGGUGUUGGAGGAAGGGAAGCUCUCUCCGGUCCGUGCCUCGAAGAUGACAAAGAAAAGAAGGAACAACGGUCGUGCCAAAAAGGGCCGCGGCCACGUGCAGCCUAUUCGCUGCACUAACUGUGCCCGAUGUGUGCCCAAGGACAAGGCCAUUAAGAAAUUGGUCAUUCGAAACAUAGUGGAGGCCACAGCAGUCAGGGACAUUUCUGAAGCAAGCGUCUUCGAUGCCUACGUGCUUCCCAAGCUGUAUGUGAAGCUGCAUUACUGUGUGAGUUGUGCAAUCCACAGCAAAGUAGUCAGGAAUCGAUCUCAUGAAGCCCGCAAGGACCGAACACCCCCACCCCGAUUUAGACCUGC
rnacentral:lncRNA from 1 species